rfam:Domibacillus antri strain XD80 WGS_contig_54, whole genome shotgun sequence.
GUUUGCUCUACGAUUGCCGUCGUAGUGCUUCUCAACUCGUCGAGGUAGAACGUUUCACACUUUAGCGAGGCAUGAAACGAUUCGAUGGAGGCAUUAUCAGCGG